rnacentral:lncRNA from 1 species
AUGACAUGGAGUUCUAGCGCUUGUCAACCGUGAUUGCACUCUUCGUUCGUUUCGCAAUCUCUCCGUUCAGUUUCCUUGCGCAUGUCAGAAGCGUUCAGGAAUGAAAAUGAGUGAUGACAAGUGCCACUUCAAAAGACAACGAGA